rnacentral:rRNA from 1 species
AGUCGAACGAUGAAGCCCCUUCGGGGGUGGAUUAGUGGCGAACGGGUGAGUAACACGUGGGCAAUCUGCCCUGCACUCUGGGACAAGCCCUGGAAACGGGGUCUAAUACCGGAUACGACCCUCUGAGGCAUCUCAUGGGGGUGGAAAGCUCCGGCGGUGCAGGAUGAGCCCGCGGCCUAUCAGCUUGUUGGUGAGGUAACGGCUCACCAAGGCGACGACGGGUAGCCGGCCUGAGAGGGCGACCGGCCACACUGGGACUGAGACACGGCCCAGACUCCUACGGGAGGCAGCAGUGGGGAAUAUUGCACAAUGGGCGCAAGCCUGAUGCAGCGACGCCGCGUGAGGGAUGACGGCCUUCGGGUUGUAAACCUCUUUCAGCAGGGAAGAAGCGUAAGUGACGGUACCUGCAGAAGAAGCGCCGGCUAACUACGUGCCAGCAGCCGCGGUAAUUCCA